rnacentral:rRNA from 1 species
UACCCAGACUCCUACGGGAGGCAGCAGUGGGGAAUAUUGCACAAUGGGGGAAACCCUGAUGCAGCGACGCCGCGUGAGUGAAGAAGUAUUUCGGUCUGUAAAGCUCUAUCAGCAGGGAAGAAAUACUGACCUUACGGUCAGCAGACGGUACCUGACUAAGAAGCCCCGGCUAACUACGUGCCAGCAGCCGCGGUAAUACGUAGGGGGCAAGCGUUAUCCGGAUUUACUGGGUGUAAAGGGAGCGUAGACGGCAGCGCAAGUCUGAAGUGAAAUCCCAUGGCUUAACCAUGGAACUGCUUUGGAAACUGUGCGGCUGGAGUGCAGGAGAGGUAAGCGGAAUUCCUAGUGUAGCGGUGAAAUGCGUAGAUAUUAGGAGGAACACCAGUGGCGAAGGCGGCUUACUGGACUGUAACUGACGUUGAGGCUCGAAAGCGUGGGGAGCAAACAGGAUUAGAUACCCCGGUA